rnacentral:rRNA from 1 species
GUAGGGAAUAUUGCACAAUGGGCGAAAGCCUGAUGCAGCAACGCCGCGUGCGCGAAGAAGGCCUUCGGGUCGUAAAGCGCUUUUCUGGGAGAAGAGGAAGGACGGUAUCUCAGGAAGAAGGAUCGGCUAACUACGUGCCAGCAGCCGCGGUAAAACGUAGGAUCCGAGCGUUAUCCGAAUUCACUGGGCGUAAAGAGCGAGCAGGCGGUCGAUCAAGUUGGAUGUGAAAUCUCCCGGCUCAACUGGGAGAGGCCGUUCAAAACUGGUUGACUAGAGGGCAGUAGAGGGAGGUGGAAUUCCCGGUGUAGUGGUGAAAUGCGUAGAUAUCGGGAGGAACACCAGUGGCGAAAGCGGCCUCCUGGGCUGUACCUGACGCUGAGAUGCGAAAGCUAGGGGAGCGAACGGGAUUAGAUACCCCAGUAGUCC